UUGUCUGUACAUCUCUCGCCUCGUGCACCACUCGCGCACAUAUAUAUCCGUCACGCGCGCAGUUCGCCUUUUUUUUGUAGCGCAACUAGAUAUAGUGCAUCAAGCGGCGCGCUCCUUGCCUCGCUAUCGCACGCGCGCGGCACAUGUUCAGGGAAUUUGUGCAUGCGUGCGUGUGUCUCGUUUGAAAGGGUCAUAUUCCUUGACCAGGUCUCCGCUUUUCUUUUCAUUUUUUCGUGUUGCUGUUGCACUUCCAGCCGACGCCCACCCCAGCCGUUCUCCCACACUCUUGGCGAACGUGCGCAUGUGCACAAGACCUCCAUUGAAUCCGUGCCACAGUUCUCACAAGACCUUCUCAUCUCUUGUCUCUAUCUCUCUCUUCGGCGCAAGGCGCUUGCGGUCCUCGGGCAGCACGCAGUCUCACCCAUCACGUACCGCUUCGCUCGGUGCUCUCAUCGCGCAUUGGUGCUCUACUCCGCUCCCAUCGAGCCUGCAUCAAGCAAGUACAAGCUGCGUGGAAGUGUGCACGCGCGCAAGAGGCGUCACAGAUAAAGGAACGCACGGCACAGAAACAGAAAGACGCUCUGGCCGAUCCCAUCAUCUUUUAUUGCAUAUUUCGGGGGUGGCGCCUUUCACGUCCGCUCACACCGCGCACCAGUUCAGCAGUGUGGUGCUCGCUCCAUCUGCUCUCCUGUCGCGUAUCACUUGCAUGACGUGCAUAGCGCACGCCUCUUGCUCUAUCUUUUUUUUUUUGUUAUCUCACCUAUACCUUCCUUGAUUUUAUUUCACACUGCAUCACACGCGUUACCUCGAUUCGUUUGUUUCUGUGCUUCUGGCGAUCAGUCUUUCCAUUGCCUUUAGCCUCCGGCAUGCUUUCUCGCGCUCUCUCUGUAUUCGUGCGUGCGUCCUCGCCUGUUGUCGACUCGUUUCUGCGCGACUUCCUGAUUUUCGUUGGUGUGGUGUCUGCGUCGUCUUCCUCUCUGUCGUAGUUCCUGCAUUUUUUUCUGUGUGUGCUGGCUGUGUCUGCGUGCGCCUCUUUCUCUCUUCUCCUCGUCUGUGCGUCUUCGCUCCCGCGCCCUGCCAUCUCCCUUGCUGUUUCUCGUCUCUCAGCGGGUUUUCUCUAGCGGUGCCGGCUUCACUUUACAUUCCGCCUAUUCAGUGGUGUUGGCGGUGCCGCGGCUGCAUCUCUUCACGCUGACUUCUUGUCUAUCGCAGCACUCAGAACGCCAUUCCCGCCGAGCCCCUUCCGUGCGAAGUGCAAGCGCUGGACGUGGUCUGUGAGCACGCGUGACGUGUUUUCUUACAGGACACACUUGCUUGAUUGAUUUUGUCUUACUGCGGACGGCCUCGGCUCAUCAUGUCUUCCGCGCGCAGCGAGGGCUCUGAACGCUCUCCUGAUGAGGUACCGAGCCCCAUGCCGAACACCGCGCCUUUAGCCACGGUAGCCCUUGCGGACUCCAUCGGCGUCGACGCCCCGCCGGCGGCAUCGCUCCUCACGGCAAUCUGCAACUCGACGCAAAUCAUCAGCAACGUCUCGGUGUCAUCCUCGCACACCUCGAUGAUGCGGCUGUCGCGCGCCGAGGUGCUCGCCCGCACAGUGCACCUUCGCUGCCUACCGCCCUUCAUGAAGCAGAGGAUCCUCGCCGAUGUCUUCGAGGACUGCGGUGAGUACCUGCGCGUGCGCAUUUGCGGCAACGCCGCCACGCACCAGAAAUGGGUGUACGGCUUCGUGGAGUUUGCCACCAAAGAUGCAGCGGCGAAGAUGACUACAUACUGUGGGAUGGAGCUGCCCAACGGCCCCGAUAAGCCGCCGCUGCGCCUCAAGUGCAGCCCAUCAAAGCAGCCGAUUCUCGACUGCAUGGCGUACGACGCUGACGUAGCCAACGGCACCCCUUGUGGCUUCGGUCGCGGGCACCUGGCGGAGUGCACACUGAACGAUGUGCUGCUGGUGGUAGGCAGCGCCAGUGGCACCCCAAAACUAAGCACGGCAGGAGGCGCAAGCAGCAGCGGCGGGGGCCGCGGUGGCGGUGGCGUGGGUGAUCGUCGCAUGAAGGCGGCCAACAGCGCACUGACCGCUCUCGCGGUGCAGUCGAUUCGCAAGGUUGCUGCGACUGGGUGCGGGUGUGGCUGCUCCGGCGUGAACUGCUGUGGCUGCUGCAGCUGCUGGAAGGGGUUACCGGAGUCCACGGAAUGCGCCUCUUGUGCUGGCGGAGAGGUUUCGUCGGACAUAUCUGCUAAAGGGACCGCAGGGGCUGUUGGUGCACCCGUCGCUGCACGCGGAUGCGCUGGCUGUGCCACCUGUGACGGCGGAUCAGCAAUGGCGACGCACCCGAGCGACUGCUGCGGUGACGCAGCUGCGACGCUGCCGCAACUGAAAGCAACGUGCUCCGGGCUCUUGGACCUUCAGAUGCCUUUCGUGUUCCCUGGCGGCGGCUCUCCUCUCGACUUCAUGCAGCAGCUCGCCGCCGCCUUCCAGGGCCUUCGCGACAGUGCUGCCACUCACGAGAGUCAGCUGGAUGGCCCGUCGAUUGCGCGGCGGGCGGAGGCCAUGGCGCUUGACGCGAUGCACCGCUCCGGUCGUUUCACUUCCGACGCGUGCAUUCAGGACACCUUGUCGGAGCUGACGCAGCUGCUCGCCUUCCUGGACUCGAACAGAGCCGUGACGGGAGGCGCCGCGCAGACCGCCUCCGGAGACUGUACCGCGACUGUCCCUCAGCGCGUCACGCAGUUGUGGAUGCUGGCGCACCUCGUUAGCGCUCUUUUGUGUGUGCUGCGCCGCCGCGUCGGGGAUGCCAUACCGCACGUGGAGGCGGUGCUCGUCACCUUUGCGCAGACUCCGCCCUCCACGCUGCUGUUGCGUGCUCGACAGCGUGGCAAAGCAGUUGCGGUGCAGGAGCAGCGCCAUGCUGAGAAACUGACGCAUUCCCAGGUGCUCGGGGCAUUGCAUGAGGGCCGUGGCCCGGGUGCCGUCGCAGGAGCUGCCACCGCGAUUGGUGCCCCUGCGGCGUGUUCGCUAGUCAAGCGUCGUUUUGCUCCGUCCCUCCCACUGGGCUCAUUCGUCGAUGAGGAUGUGGCGGGGUCGCUGCUGGAAAUGGUGAACGAAGACGGCGAUUACGACGGCAGCCACUGCGAGGAUGCGAACAUCCACCGCAUGAGCAGCCGUGAUGACCCGCUGGACAAUGACGAUAUCGAGGACAAGGAUGAUGACGCAGCGCAGCUGAAGGACAGCAGCGGCUCCGCCUCCAGCUGCACCUACGCCAGUGAGGCGUUUUGGAACUCCGCCGACACGGCUGCCUUGUGCCGCCGUGACGAGUCCUUCUCCCGCUAUGUGCUGAACGUUCUUGUCUCCGUAGGACUUGCGAUGGAGGAGGUGCACCCCGGCAUUGCCCGAAGCGCCUACAUGCUAGCGAACGGGCGGGCGACGGAGGUGCUUGGGGAGCCUAGUAAGCUACUCGCCGACCGCCUGGCUGCCGCCCCCACCGGCAACCCGCAUCUGUGCGCCGCACUUUUCGCGGAGACGGACAGGAACGGCAGCGCUCGCGACGUCACCUUUUUCCCGCAUCAGUUCUUCGAAAGCGUUAAUGUGGUGUCGCAGCGGCUGCUCGACAUACGCGAGACGGAGGGCUUCUGGCGCCAACUUCCACCCAACCACAUCGUGACUCUCUUCAAUGCGUAAGACCGGAUGUAGGAAACGGAGCGGCCUAAAUCAAUAUCGCUCGAAUGCGUGUGCACUUCUCGCAGCAGCGUAGGUGUGCGGGAGGAGUGUGGAGUCGGGGGGGGGGGCCAACUCGCGCAGUGGGCCCUGCCGCCUGCUGCCUGCUGCCCGCUGCCAGGUUUGCGAUUUAGGCCAGCCUCACCAGACCUCAUUCCUGCCGCCCUCCUCACAUAUGCGCUUGAGCAAACUCUGAGUUGUCUCUCCGAAAAACACAAAAAAUGCUUGCUGUCGCGCGCGUGCUUUCUUCUGGCGACCCCACACGAUCUGCCGCGCCUGCCUUUAUCAUUGCUGUUCUCGUCGUUGUGUAUCACGCGCAGUGCGGCUGGCUUCGACGCACCAAGAAAAUGCUGCACGCCUCCCUCCUUUGUGUGUUCGAACGCGUUUUGUAUCGUAGGAGGCCUCGUUUUUUUUUUUUAUUUCAUGCUCUUCUGCGUCUCCUCGCGGACUGCAGCGGGUAAACACGUCAUCGCGUCACGCUCCCCGUUGGCGUUUUGUGCUCUUUAUCGUUGGGUCUUUGCUGUGUGGUGGUGUCGUCCUGUCCCCCUUUCGCUCCCCACCUCUCUUUUUUCUUUUCAUUGCUUUUUUUUUCCAUGGGUAAUCUCCCUUCCUAAGUCCUAAUGUGACUUUGGCGCAGCUACGUGCCUGCCGCGGUGGUGGCAUUUGCGCUGUGGCGCGAGAGAAUCGACGAGAUGCCUACACAGCGUUGUUGUGCUAUCAUCUUCUUUGCAUGCCUUUUUUCACCCUUUCUCCAGAUACCCGCGAGUACUGCACAUCUAGUACGCCACACUCUCUACUUCAGUGGCUGUGUCACACGUGACAGUGCAGACAUGCCAUAUGUAAUCCUCUGGCAUUGUUGCCUUUCCGUCGUGCUGGUUGCAGGUUUUCGCAUUCG
rnacentral:misc_RNA from 1 species